CUCACCCCGAUGCCCUGGUCCACAGAGCAGGUACCCAGUGCUCUGCACAUGUGGUGUCCUCACCCCGAUGCCCUGGUCCACAGAGCAGGUACCCAGUGCUCUGCACACGUGGUGGCCACACACUAAUGCCCUGGUCCACAGAGCAGGUACCCAGUGCUGUGCACAUGUGGUGGCCUCACUCCGAUGCCCUGGUCCAGAGAGCAGGUACCCAGUACUGUGCACACGUGGUGGCCUC